rnacentral:rRNA from 1 species
UACGUAGGGUGCAAGCGUUAAUCGGAAUUACUGGGCGUAAAGCGUGCGCAGGCGGUUAUGCAAGGCAGAGGUGAAAUCCCCGGGCUCAACCUGGGAACUGCCUUUGUGACUGCAUGGCUAGAGUACGGUAGAGGGGGAUGGAAUUCCGCGUGUAGCAGUGAAAUGCGUAGAUAUGCGGAGGAACACCGAUGGCGAAGGCAAUCCCCUGGGCCUGCACUGACGCUCAUGCACGAAAGCGUGGGGAGCAAACAGG